UUUCAUGGCAUGUUUCAAUAGCACCACUUUGGAGGUCAAGGAUCUCGACGAAUCGACUGCUAUCACAGCCAUGAAGUGGGGACUACAAAGCUCUAAGUUCAUCUACUUCUUGGACAAGACACUUGCUCGAUCCUUCGUUGAACUCCUCGAGCACGUAUAGAAGUACAUCCGCAUCGAGGAGGCUGCAGUAGACCAACGUGAGUUCGAGGGCAAGGGUCGGAAGAAGAAGGCAAGGAGGGAGG
rnacentral:lncRNA from 1 species